rnacentral:piRNA from 1 species
UUCCUGAGUUUACCUCAAUAAAGGGUGUUU